rnacentral:rRNA from 1 species
UACGUAGGGGGCAAGCGUUGUCCGGAAUCAUUGGGCGUAAAGAGCGCGUAGGCGGCCCGAUAAGUCCGCUGUGAAAGUCAAGGGCUUAACCCUUGAAUGCCGGUGGAAACUGUCGGGCUAGAGUCCGGAAGAGGCGAGUGGAAUUCCUGGUGUAGCGGUGAAAUGCGCAGAUAUCAGGAGGAACACCAAUGGCGAAGGCAGCUCGCUGGGACGGUACUGACGCUGAUGCGCGAAAGCGUGGGUAGCAAACAGG